GGCAAAAGCUCAAAUUUGAAAUCUGGCACUUUCAGUGUCCGAGUUGUAAUUUGAAGAAGGUAACUCUGGAGUUGGCCCUUGUCUAUGUUCCUUGGAACAGGACGUCACAGAGGGUGAGAAUCCCGUGCGAUGGGGUGUCCAAUUCUAUGUAGAGUGCUUUCGAAGAGUCGAGUUGUUUGGGAAUGCAGCUCUAAGUGGGUGGUAAAUUCCAUCUAAAGCUAAAUAUUGGCGAGAGACCGAUAGCGAACAAGUACAGUGAUGGAAAGAUGAAAAGAACUUUGAAAAGAGAGUGAAAAAGUACGUGAAAUUGUUGAAAGGGAAGGGCUUGAGAUCAGACUCGGUAUUUUGCGAUCCUAUCCUUCGUGGAGAGGUUUCAUUUGCAGCUUACCGGGCCAGCAUCGGUUUGGAUGGUAGGAUAAUGACAUUGGAAUGUGGCUCUUCGGAGUGUUAUAGCCCUUGUUGAUACUGCCUAUCUAGACCGAGGACUGCGUCUUUGACUAGGAUGCUGGCAUAAUGAUCUUAAGCCGCCCGUCUUGA
rnacentral:rRNA from 1 species